UGAGGAACCUACCCCGGACUCAGGGAUAACGGCUGGAAACGGCUGCUAAUACCUGAUGCCGUCGGAGCAUCACAUGGUGCACUGACGAAAGAAUCUCGGUUCGGGAGGGCCUCGCGGCCUAUCAGCUUGUUGGUGGGGUAACGGCCUACCAAGGCAUCGACGGGUAGCUGGUCUGAGAGGAUGAUCAGCCACACUGGGACUGGGACACGGCCCAG
rnacentral:rRNA from 1 species